GACGAACGCUGGCGGCGUGCCUAAUACAUGCAAGUCGAACGAGUGGCGGACGGGUGAGUAAUGUCUGGGAAACUGCCCGAUGGCGGGGGUUAACUACUGGAAACGGUAGCUAAUACCGCAUACCAUCGGAUGUGCACAGAUGGGAUUAGCUAGUAGGGGGGGUAAAGGCUCACCUAGGCGACGAUCCCUAGCUGGUCUGAGAGGAUGACCGGCAAUACUGGAACGAAGACACGUGCCAGAGUCCUACGGGAGGCAGAAGGGGGGAAUAUUGCACAAUGGGCGCAAGCCUGAUGCAGCCAUGCCGCGUGUAUGAAGAAGGCCUUCGGGUUGUAAAGUACUUUCAGCGAGGAGGCGUUACUCACAGAAGAAGCACCGGCUAACUCCGUGCCAGCAGCCGCGGUAAUAC
rnacentral:rRNA from 1 species